rnacentral:tRNA from 1 species
UCCUUUGUAGCUCAGUUGGUAAAGAAUCCGCCUAUAGUGCAGGAGACCCGGGUUUGAUUCCUGGUGUGGGAA